UUUAAUGGUAACGCUUUUUUUCUUCUUACUUCAUUCCUAUUGGUCAGUCUCGACGAGUGUCUAUAUUCAUUGUGUUCAUUGGCUGUUUGAGGAGAGGAACUCGAAAACCUGUGAAUCAGGUUAAUUAAACAUUACAAAGAUUUUUAGAGCUUUGUUUGAAGCAUAAUUGUUUUUUAUAUUGAAUGGAAUGGUAUUUCUCAAACAAAGGUCCUUGCAGUUGCAAGAAAGCAGCAGAGAGCCGAUCCAAAAUCUCUACGUGCUGUUACAAACAUUAACAGCAGGAGGUGCAAUUGGGUGUUGGGUUGAUAAAUACAAACCACCAUGCGAGCGGAAAAAAGGCAGAGGCUGAUGCUGCAGUAACAGACUGAGGUUGGCUGUGGCUGGUGCUGUCAGAGUAUCUGCUCUUACCUGGCCCCCAGAGAAGAUGACUGGUGCAGUGGCAGGCUUUGGCCUGUAUGGAAUUGUGGCACCUUUGGGUGGGGACUGGCGAAGAUCUGCUUCACACACUGGAUAAUGGCCUCUGGAGCACCU